CAAUCACUCACUUACUCAAUCACAUACACACACACACACACGCACGCACACACACUUCAAGUUUCUUUAUUGAAUAAUGGAAAUUACAAUGUCUGUCUCACGGGCUCAGCCUUGCUGAGCUGUCUGAUCAGACAGAAGCACAGUGAACUCUUCAACAAUGGAUAUUUUACAUUGAGUGUUGUCUGAUGAGUAAGCUAUCUGAUGGCUGGAGCUUGGUUAAACUUCACACCGAGAUCAGGUCUUUUUAUUUUUCCCCCACACAGAUUUUUUCUGAAUGCAAUGGAUAGCUUGCAAGCUUGUAAGAGAGCUUAGUCCCUGAGUAAUGGAUUCUCACAUCGUUCGGAUAUUUGCAUAUAACUGCCAAAUCUCAAUCCAUUCCCAAUUCAUUUCAUUUUAUAGAGAUCGCAUAUUUGCAUAUUUCUGACAUUUUCCUGUAUUUUCUUGGACUUAUGUCCAAUUAUGCAUAAUGAUUAAUAAAUAGGCUAUUCGUUAAAAGAUGGCAGAUGCGGCAUAAAUAAACUGACAAUUGCCCAAUAAAGACAUAACAUUUAUCAAUCACAUUGACAGCGGAUGCCACAAUGUCAUGCGUGGUCAUCUGCUCUCCUCAGUCUUAUUAUUUUGUGCAAUUAAGUGCAUUCUACUGUAGUUAGUUUAGGGCGUCUAAGGUUGCCUGAAAACUUGAAAGCAGUCAAAACUUAAUUAUUUAAAUGCAGUAUAAUUCACAAACUAAUUGUACUAAUAAAUGCACAGAUCAUUUAUAAUCAUUUCAUAGAUGCUUAUUUAUGUAUUUGUUGUGUGUGUGCGUGUGUGUGUGUGUGUGUGUGUGUGCGCGCGUGUGAUUUCUCUUAUAGGCAGUUUAAGGGGGUUGAAAAAACACUUAGGUGGCCCAUCUAAGGAGUUUUGUUGCAGGAGAAAACCCUGGAUUGGUUGAUUGAGGGUUUGAUGUGCAGUCCAGUGUGGCUGUUUGCUGUCCGUUGACAGAGCAGGCCUGAAGUUUUGAAUUUGCGGUCCACGAGUGAGUCCACGCGCAGACAUUGAAGUGAACAUCAAUGGCAGUUCUCCUAAAUCCUGCCCUUCCCCUGCUGCUCGUGUAAGUAGGACAGGCUGUUGGUGAUCGCAUUAACACGGGGCCGGUUAUUACACCUCGGCCUUAUUCCGGGCCAGCUACACGGCGCAGCAGCUCUUUCCCGGGGCUGAAUCAGGGAUUCGAACCCGCAACUCCCGGCUGCACGGCCAACGCCUCACAUCUCCUUACUGCUCCUGGCUUCACCCAUUGGAGGACACACGGAAAGGAAGCAGAGAAAGGGUGUGAGGACAGAGCAAUCAAGAAAACAUGAUUCAGGCAAAUGGAACAUCUUUGCUCUUUCAAGCGUCAUUCUGAAGCCACAUCAGAAACAGAAAACACACCGACCGGUGGCCGAUUGGUGGAGGCGAGAGCGAUGCCAGGCAGUUUCGUCAGAAGAUGUGUGACUUUACUCUUAGGGCCUGGUGAUUGUUUUUUGGUUUGGUGAU